GAUGAACGCUAGCGGCAGGCUUAAUACAUGCAAGUCGAGGGGCAGCACAGGUAGCAAUACUGGGUGGCGACCGGCAAACGGGUGCGGAACACGUACACAACUUACCUUCCGGUGGGGGAUAGCCUUUGGAAACGGAGAUUAAUACCCCAUAUUAUAUAUGAGCUGCAUGGUUUGUAUAUUAAAGAUUUAUUGCCGGAAGAUGGGUGUGCUAAUGAUUAGGUAGUUGGCGGGGUAACGGCCCACCAAGCCGACGAUCAUUAACUGGUGUGAGAGCACGACCAGUCACACGGGCACUGAGACACGGGCCCGACUCCUACGGGAGGCAGCAGUAAGGAAUAUUGGUCAAUGGACGGAAGUCUGAACCAGCCAUGCCGCGUGGAGGAUGAAGGUCCUCUGGAUUGUAAACUUCUUUUAUAGGGGGCGAAAAAAGGGAAUUCUUUCUCGUCUGACGGUACCCUAUGAAUAAGCACCGGCUAACUCCGUGCCAGCCGCCGCCGUAACAC
rnacentral:rRNA from 1 species